GAAAUCUGAACAUGAAACAGAAUAAGCUUAAGGAAAGCCAUUACCUUGGGCUGAGUCUGAAUUAGUGGAAAAGAGGUGAGGAUACUUGGUCUGCAUGUCUGCUUCUGCUUCCCAAGCAUCUCCCUCAAUGGACUGAUUCCACCAAAGAACUUUGACUGUAGGGACUUCUUUGUUCCUCAAUCUGCGAGUCUGAUAGUCAAGGCUUUCGACUAGAAUUUCCUCAUAAGAGAGACUAUUCUAA
rnacentral:lncRNA from 1 species